ensembl:lncRNA
ACCUGGGCACCAGGCGUGGGGCAAGGCCCCCUCACCGGGCAAGUUCACGCUCUCCCCUCUCACGUGGCCCCAGGCUCUCAGUCUUGGGCUGUGCUGCCGGCCGCUGUUCCGGGCCAGCCCAUCAUCACGGGCAAUGGACCUCAGAUUCCGUCUCUCGUCCCUGGGGCUGAUCACAAAGGGCCCCUCCUCGGGGUUCCUGCCUGCUUUCUCCUCCCCGGUUUUGGCUUCCCUGCUCUGCCUUCUGCUUUGGCCAAGGUUUCUCUGCGUUCCUCAUUGAACAGGAAUCUCACGGUAAUGAAGCCCAAGAACAAUGUGUUACCUGACAUGCUUUGUGUGGGGUGUGAUGGAAAAUGGAAGAUGAAGAAGAUGAGCAAAAGUGGAGAUAAAAGAACAUUGGAGUCACUAGAGAGAAUCUUCCGGGCUUCUUUGAGUCCAACAGAGACAGUCUUUUCUCACAAAAACCAGAGAGGUAUAACCUCUCUCCCUCCCAGGAUAGUUGCAGAAAUUAUCUCAAAGAAAGCCCCAUCACAAAAGAAACCACACUGGAUGUGAGAGUUGGACUGAGAAGAAGGCUGAGCACCAAAGAAUUGAUGCCUUUGAACUGUGGUGUUGAAGACUCUUGAGAGUCCCUUGGACUGCAAGGAGAUCCAACCAGUCCAUUCUGAAGGAGACCAGCCCUGGGAUUUCUUUGGAAGAAAUGAUGCUAAAGCUGAAACUCCAGUACUUUGGCCACCUCAUGUGAAGAGUUGACUCAUUGGAAAAGACUCUGAUGCUGGGAGAGAUUGGGGGCAGGAGGAGAAGGGGACAACAGAGGAUGUGAUGGCUGGAUGGCAUCACUGACUCGAUGGAUGUGAGUCUAGGUGAACUCUGGGAGUUGAUGAUGGACAGGGAGGCCUGGCGUGCUGCGAUUCAUGGGGUCGCAAGGAGUCGGACACGACUGAGUGACUGAACUGAACUGAACUGAAGUAAAAUAUUUAAAUGGAACAUCUUAGAAUUAGAAAAAUAGAAAUGCAUUUAUAGUGUUUAUGGAACUGAGUCAGAAAAUUGCUGUAGAUUCAAGAAUGAAUUUGGACUCACUCAGAGAGCGAGUCUCAGAGAUUUCAGUCUCAGAGAGACUGAAAGCCCUCAGGAAUUAGCACAUAAGUAUUGAUUUAAAAAUAAGUGAGCACUCUUAGAGCAAAUUCCAUGGGCUGGUGUUGAUUAGUAGAUCAGAAGUAGAGAGACUCAAGGAGACCAAAGGACCCAGGACAAAAUUGCCACACAAUCCCUAGCUAAGGCUUCACCAAUACACUGACAAGGAGAGAUCCAAAGGAAAUAAUUGGAAGUGAGGAAAAAGAUAUUUUUAAUGGCAAAAGUGCUAAUUAUAAUAUUACAAAGAAAACAGAAAUGUCUAAGUAAAAAAGGAAAUUACACAUUAUAUAACAAAAUUAUACUCACAGGAGACAUCAAGAGUCAAGGAGAUUCUUGCUAAAGGCAAGCCAAGGUGAUCAGAUACCAAAGACGGGAGACAAGAAAGUUUGAUCAGAUAUCAAGAGUAGGGGGUUCUUGCUGAUGGGCUGGGCAGACCAAGGAUAGGACAAGGGCCAAAGUCAAGACCUAGAGGAAAAGAGGUCUCAGAGGAGGGUAAAGUUAGGCCCAGGAGAAAGUGUCUGUCAAGCCUCAAGAAUCAAAGAACCUGCACAUUGGGGAAACUGUAGCAAACAGUUUCAGUAACUUUUUUUGUUUUUAUCUUGUACAGAUGUUCACUCUAGAAAUUAUUUAGAAAUAAUUUGUGCUUAAUAGCUGGUUAAAAAAAGAAACAGAGUUGGCAUUCCAAGUCUAAUCCAACCAAAUAUACAAUCUUUGGGCUCUGAAAACUCUGAGAAAUAAAGAGUUCAGGAGCCAGUGAUGUUGUGACCA